rnacentral:rRNA from 1 species
GUGGGGAAUAUUGCGCAAUGGGGGAAACCCUGACGCAGCAACGCCGCGUGAGUGAUGAAGGCUUUCGGGUCGUAAAACUCUGUCAUUGGGGAAGAAAAAAAUGACGGUACCCAAUGAGGAAGCCCCGGCUAACUACGUGCCAGCAGCCGCGGUAAUACGUAGGGGGCAAGCGUUGUCCGGAAUUAUUGGGCGUAAAGGGUGCGUAGGUGGCCUGAUAAGUCAGAUGUGAAAUACCGAGGCUCAACUUCGGAGGUGCAUUUGAAACUAUUAGGCUUGAGUGCAGGAGAGGAAAGUGGAAUUCCUAGUGUAGCGGUGAAAUGCGUAGAGAUUAGGAGGAACACCAGUGGCGAAGGCGACUUUCUGGACUGUAACUGACACUGAGGCACGAAAGCGUGGGGAGCAAACAGGAUUAGAAACCCUAGUAGUCC